GGCGCCGCCAACUUCCUUCAGCGAGUACUCUUCAGCUCCUUGCCAUUCACAGACGGAGGAAUUCUACAUAGACACAGCCAGUUACCUGCAGCCAUCACUGGUGACGGCUGGGGGGGUUGACACUACUAGACCGCGGUGUCUAGAAAUGUCAGGCGUAGGAAAUAUACAAAGUUUCUACUUUGUGUCUGUAUAUCUUUUGACUGGGUUGAAAUUUCAGUGAAACUGAAACACAAAAUGAAUAUUUCAUGAAAUACUAAUUUUUCGGGGCAGUGACACUGUCGCUUUACCAAAUAUG